GGGUUGUGAGGUUAAGCGACUAAGCGUACACGGUGGAUGCCCUGGCAGUCAGAGGCGAUGAAGGGCGUGCUAAUCUGCGAUAAGCGCCGGUAAGGUGAUAUGAACCGUUAUAACCGGCGAUACCCGAAUGGGGAAACCCAGUGUGAUUCGUCACACUAUCAUUAACUGAAUCCAUAGGUUAAUGAGGCGAACCGGGGGAACUGAAACAUCUAAGUACCCCGAGGAAAAGAAAUCAACCGAGAUUCCCCCAGUAGCGGCGAGCGAACGGGGAGGAGCCCAGAGCCUGAAUCAGCAUGUGUGUUAGUGGAAGCGUCUGGAAAGGCGCGCGAUACAGGGUGACAGCCCCGUACACAAAAGCGCAUGUGCUGUGAGCUCGAUGAGUAGGGCGGGACACGUGGUAUCCUGUCUGAAUAUGGGGGGACCAUCCUCCAAGGCUAAAUACUCCUGACUGACCGAUAGUGAACCAGUACCGUGAGGGAAAGGCGAAAAGAACCCCGGCGAGGGGAGUGAAAAAGAACCUGAAACCGUGUACGUACAAGCAGUGGGAGCNNUGACUGCGUACCUUUUGUAUAAUGGGUCAGCGACUUAUAUUCUGUAGCAAGGUUAACCGAAUAGGGGAGCCGGAGGGAAACCGAGUCUUAACCGGGCGUUAAGUUGCAGGGUAUAGACCCGAAACCCGGUGAUCUAGCCAUGGGCAGGUUGAAGGUUGGGUAACACUAACUGGAGGACCGAACCGACUAAUGUUGAAAAAUUAGCGGAUGACCUGUGGCUGGGGGUGAAAGGCCAAUCAAACCGGGAGAUAGCUGGUUCUCCCCGAAAGCUAUUUAGGUAGCGCCUCGUGAAUUCAUCUCCGGGGGUAGAGCACUGUUUCGGCUAGGGGGCCAUCCCGGCUUACCAACCCGAUGCAAACUGCGAAUACCGGAGAAUGUUAUCACGGGAGACACACGGCGGGUGCUAACGUCCGUCGUGAAGAGGGAAACAACCCAGACCGCCAGCUAAGGUCCCAAAGUCAUGGUUAAGUGGGAAACGAUGUGGGAAGGCCCAGACAGCCAGGAUGUUGGCUUAGAAGCAGCCAUCAUUUAAAGAAAGCGUAAUAGCUCACUGGUCGAGUCGGCCUGCGCGGAAGAUGUAACGGGGCUAAACCAUGCACCGAAGCUGCGGCAGCGACGCUUAUGCGUUGUUGGGUAGGGGAGCGUUCUGUAAGCCUGUGAAGGUGGCCUGUGAGGGUUGCUGGAGGUAUCAGAAGUGCGAAUGCUGACAUAAGUAACGAUAAAGCGGGUGAAAAGCCCGCUCGCCGGAAGACCAAGGGUUCCUGUCCAACGUUAAUCGGGGCAGGGUGAGUCGACCCCUAAGGCGAGGCCGAAAGGCGUAGUCGAUGGGAAACGGGUUAAUAUUCCCGUACUUGGUGUUACUGCGAAGGGGGGACGGAGAAGGCUAUGUUGGCCGGGCGACGGUUGUCCCGGUUUAAGCGUGUAGGUGUGUGUUCCAGGUAAAUCCGGUUCACUUUAACACUGAGGCGUGAUGACGAGGCACUACGGUGCUGAAGUAACAAAUGCCCUGCUUCCAGGAAAAGCCUCUAAGCAUCAGGUAACAUCAAAUCGUACCCCAAACCGACACAGGUGGUCAGGUAGAGAAUACCAAGGCGCUUGAGAGAACUCGGGUGAAGGAACUAGGCAAAAUGGUGCCGUAACUUCGGGAGAAGGCACGCUGACACGUAGGUGAAGUGAUUUACUCAUGGAGCUGAAGUCAGUCGAAGAUACCAGCUGGCUGCAACUGUUUAUUAAAAACACAGCACUGUGCAAACACGAAAGUGGACGUAUACGGUGUGACGCCUGCCCGGUGCCGGAAGGUUAAUUGAUGGGGUCAGCGCAAGCGAAGCUCCUGAUCGAAGCCCCGGUAAACGGCGGCCGUAACUAUAACGGUCCUAAGGUAGCGAAAUUCCUUGUCGGGUAAGUUCCGACCUGCACGAAUGGCGUAAUGAUGGCCAGGCUGUCUCCACCCGAGACUCAGUGAAAUUGAACUCGCUGUGAAGAUGCAGUGUACCCGCGGCAAGACGGAAAGACCCCGUGAACCUUUACUAUAGCUUGACACUGAACAUUGAGCCUUGAUGUGUAGGAUAGGUGGGAGGCUUUGAAGUGUGGACGCCAGUCUGCAUGGAGCCGACCUUGAAAUACCACCCUUUAAUGUUUGAUGUUCUAACGUGGACCCGUGAUCCGGGUUGCGGACAGUGUCUGGUGGGUAGUUUGACUGGGGCGGUCUCCUCCUAAAGAGUAACGGAGGAGCACGAAGGUUGGCUAAUCCUGGUCGGACAUCAGGAGGUUAGUGCAAUGGCAUAAGCCAGCUUGACUGCGAGCGUGACGGCGCGAGCAGGUGCGAAAGCAGGUCAUAGUGAUCCGGUGGUUCUGAAUGGAAGGGCCAUCGCUCAACGGAUAAAAGGUACUCCGGGGAUAACAGGCUGAUACCGCCCAAGAGUUCAUAUCGACGGCGGUGUUUGGCACCUCGAUGUCGGCUCAUCACAUCCUGGGGCUGAAGUAGGUCCCAAGGGUAUGGCUGUUCGCCAUUUAAAGUGGUACGCGAGCUGGGUUUAGAACGUCGUGAGACAGUUCGGUCCCUAUCUGCCGUGGGCGCUGGAGAACUGAGGGGGGCUGCUCCUAGUACGAGAGGACCGGAGUGGACGCAUCACUGGUGUUCGGGUUGUCAUGCCAAUGGCACUGCCCGGUAGCUAAAUGCGGAAGAGAUAAGUGCUGAAAGCAUCUAAGCACGAAACUUGCCCCGAGAUGAGUUCUCCCUGAGACUUAGAGUCUCCUGAAGGAACGUUGAAGACGACGACGUUGAUAGGCCGGGUGUGUAAGCGCAGCGAUGCGUUGAGCUAACC
rnacentral:rRNA from 1 species